rnacentral:rRNA from 1 species
GACGAACGCUGGCGGCGUGCUUAACACAUGCAAGUCGAACGGUGAAGCGCCUUCCUUUUUGGUGGGUGUGGAGGAGUGGCGAAGGGGUGAGUAACACGUGAGUAACCUUCCCCCUUCUUCUGGAUAACCGCAUGAAAGUGUGGCUAAUACGGGAUAUUCUGGGUCUGUCGCAUGAUUGGUCAGGUACGGCUAUUGUUUCGGUUGUGGAUGGGUUCGCGGCCUAUCAGCUUGUUGGUGUGGUGAUGGCCUACCAAGGCGAGGAGGGGUAGCCGGCCUGAGAGGGUGGACGGCCACACGGGGACUGAGACACGGUCCAGACUGCUACGGGAGGCAGCAGUGGGGAAGAGGGCGCAAUGGGCGAAAGCGUGAUGCAGCGACGCCGCGGGAGGGAUGAAGGCCUGCGGGUUGUGAACCUCUUUGGGUAGUGAAGCACGCCUGCCUGGGUUGUGGGGGGGUUGACGGUAGCUGGUUAAGAAGCGCCGGCUAACUACGUG